CCGUCUUGCCUCCUCUGCUCCCUCCGCCUUUCUCUUUUGGUCUUUCUGCGACGAGAGGAAGCAGAGGUUUGGCCGGCGGGAGGAAGGGAGGGCGGAAGAACGUAAAGUUUUAGGGAAGCACGACGCUCUCGCCAAUUUCAGCUGCUUGGCAAACCGGAAGUGACGACGAGACAACGGCUCCUCUCUUGAGGCUUCGGCAAAUGGCGUCACGCAAAGGCGCGCGUCAGAUGGGUCUCUUGCUUUUGCCGAGUUCUCCCUGCAGGGGGCGGUAGAUUCCAAGAGAAUGAAGGGCUCCGCAUUGCCAACGAGAUGGCGGCUAUUCUGAAGAACCGCAGUUUAGCAUAAAUACAGGGUGGCCUCUGCUAGACCUGCUGCUAGUGUUGGCGCCAACUCCAAACUCUCCACAGCCUGUCUAACUUUAACACAAAGAUACUGCAAAGCUUGGAGAGCCAGUCUAAUAGAUCUUCCGAGGAGAUAAAAAGACCAUUGGAAGAAUGUCACCUCCAGCAUUUUUGCAGCAACAAGGGGUUGGACUAGAUGACCCUUCGGGUUCCUUCCAAUUCUGCAAUUCUAUGAUUCUGUGAUCUGUUCUCCAUUGGAUACAAUGUGCGUCACUAAACUUGGAGCCAGUAUUCCAUAGAAGAGCCUCGUCAAAGGUUCCAAAAGUCUACCACAUACCUUUUGUGAUCAGCCUUCUUACAGUCUAGUUUUUCCAGAACUAGUAUUAACAAGCAACUGAAACACGGAAUACUUCCAAUGAUUAUCAUGGAUAUCACACAGCAGUAAAGUUCCUACAACUGACAGAGUGCACAGCAGGUCUAUUAAUACGCCAUGUCUACAGUUCACAGAGGAAUUAAACCAGAUUACUUGGGUUAAGACCAAACAGGGUGUUUUCACAGGUGUUGCUUAAACUUGUUUUUUUUGGACAUCUUUUAAUGCCAUUGUAAAGCCCACAUAGGAUUUCUGUUCUACAUUCUGCCCUACAUUAGCAAGAUUCGCAUAUGUCAUAAACAAUGAAAAGAAAAUUCCAAGGUGCAUUUUUGUUUCAUGCACAACUAAGGGUUGUGUUCCUACUUGCAUUGCUCUCCAACACUGCCUACUCACCAAACCCCAUAACCCCCUCCUCUCUCCCUUUACACUUUGCCACCCCCACCCCAUUUACACCUCCCCACGGCUGCAGUUGGGAACAUAAAGCAGGCUUCCGUUCCUCUCUUUGCAUGGCAAGAGAGAGCAAAAGAGAGAAAUAAGUUUAUCUCCCCCCCCCCAAAAAAAAA